rnacentral:rRNA from 1 species
GACCGUGCGAAGGUAGCAUAAUCAUUAGUUUUUUAAUUGAAGGCUAGAAUGAAUGGUUGGACAAGAAAUAAUCUGUCUUAAAUUAAUAUAUUGAAUUUAACUUUUAAGUGAAAAGGCUUAAAUAAUCUGAAGGGACGAUAAGACCCUAUAAAACUUUAUAUUGAAAAGUGAUAGGUAUGUUUUGUUUAAAGAAUUAUUACUUUAAAGUAUUUGGUUGGGGUGACAAAAAUAGAAGAUAAAGUAACUGUUUUUUUUUUAUACAAUAAUGUUUGGGUUAGUGAUCCUAAAAUGGAUUAAAGAUUAAGUUACUUUAGGGAUAACAGCGUAAUUUUCUUUAAGAGUUCUUAUCGAUAAGAAAGUUUGCGACCUCGAUGUUGAAUUAAAGGUUCUUUAUGGAGUAGAGACUAUAAAAGAAGGUCUGUUCGACCUUUAAAACUUUACAUGAUUUGAGUUCAGACCGGUGUGAGCCAGGUUGGUUUCUAUC